ensembl:lncRNA
GGGAGGGGGGGAAGGGAGGGAGGAGAGAGGGAGGGAGGGAGAGAGACUUCACUGUUCAUUUUUUACCCUCUUUUAGUCCGCCUGUCAGUGGGAAGUCAGUCAGCCUAGAAGGGGCUAGGAAGCUACUCAAUUCACCUCAACUGCCUGAACAACAGAUAAGAGGAGUUGCUUUCCAAGACGACAUUGAAUGUUCCUGAUUGGAGGAGUUGCAGUUUUGACUGAAAUCUAUUUGAAAAUCUAUGGCAAGACCUGAAAAAUGAUUGUCUAAAAAUGAUCAACAACCAAUUUAACAGAGAUUGAAAAUUACUGAGGAUAAUAGCGGAUGAUAUUACCACCCCUAUUUGCCACAUCUUCAAUCUAACCCUACUAGAAAGUGUGCCCUCAGGCCUGGAGGGAAGCUAGUCAUUCCGCUAUCCAAGAAUAGUAAAGCCCCAGUUAGUGGCUCAAAUAGCCGACCAAUCAGCCUGUUACCAACCCCUAGUAAACUUAUGCGAACAAACAGUGUUUGACCAGAUACAAUGCUAUUUCACAGUAAACCAAUUGACAACAGACUUUCAGCACUAAACGGCUGCUGAUUGGCUGAGAGACAUUUAUAAGGAAAAAGGAUUGUGGUUGUUUUGUUAGACUUCAGUGCGGCUUUUGACAUUAUCGAUCUUAGUCUGCUGCUGGAAAAACCGCCUUAGUAUUCUGUGUUCUCUUUAUGAUGUUGAUUAGGCCAGGGGGUGACGUGGGUAAAUUAUGUAUUUGUCUUGUCUAGGGGUUUUGUAGAUUGAUGGGGUUGUGUUUAGUAUAGUAUUCUAGGUAAGUCUAUGGUUGCCUAGAGUGGUUCUCAAUCAGAGGCAGGUGUUUAUCGUUGUCUCUGAUUGGGAGCCAUAUUUGGGCAGCCAUAUUCGUUGAGUGUUUUGUGGGUGAUUGUUUCCUGUGUCAGUGUGUGUGUCACACGGGACUGUUUCGGGUUUUCACAGUUU